GAGGUAUAGAUGAGAUGAGAUAAGGUGGCAAGUGUUGGCUCCCUCCAAAACCCACAAAACUUAAGCUUCUCUCUCCAUCAAAUUAUACUCUGCUGCCAUGGCGGUGGCAGAGUUUAUUCCUUCUUCUUCACUCACUAAAACCACAUCUCUUUAUCCUUCACAAUUUUUGCAUGUAUCAACCCACAAGCCUCGAUUAUCACUAACUCCUCUCCGAAGAAGUAAAAUAUGCUGCUCUGUUAUCUCUAAUGCACCAGUACCGGUGGCAAAGGAGCCAACUAAAAAAACUGAAUGCUUUGGUGUUUUCUGUCUUACUUAUGAUCUCAAAGCUGAAGAAGAGACAAGUUCUUGGAAGAAGCUGAUAAAUGUCUCUGUUUCUGGUGCUGCCGGAAUGAUCGCUAAUCAUUUUCUUUUUAAACUUGCAUCAGGUGAAGUUUUUGGGCCAGAUCAACCAGUCGCAUUAAAAUUAUUGGGGUCUGAGCGGUCGAUCCAAGCCCUUGAAGGAGUUGCUAUGGAACUAGAGGAUUCCUUGUUUCCUUUGCUUAGGGAGGUCAGCAUAGGCAUAGAUCCUUAUGAAGUGUUCCAGGAUGCUGAAUGGGCACUUCUCAUUGGAGCAAAGCCUCGAGGUCCUGGAAUGGAACGGGCUGGCUUAUUGGAUAUAAAUGGACAAAUCUUUGCUGAGCAGGGAAAAGCUCUCAAUGCUGUUGCAUCUCGUAAUGUCAAAGUUAUAGUGGUGGGAAACCCUUGUAAUACCAAUGCAUUGAUUUGUUUGAAAAAUGCUCCAGACAUACCUGCAAAGAAUUUUCAUGCAUUGACGAGAUUAGAUGAAAAUCGAGCAAAAUGCCAGCUUGCUUUGAAAGCUGGAGUCUUCUAUGACAAAGUAUCUAAUAUGACCAUCUGGGGAAACCAUUCGACUACUCAGGUUCCAGACUUUUUAAAUGCAAAAAUUAAUGGUUUUCCAGUCAAAGACGUCAUUAGAGACUCUAAAUGGUUAGAGGAAGAGUUCACUGAAAAGAUUCAAAAGAGAGGUGGUGUACUUAUUCAGAAAUGGGGAAGAUCUUCUGCUGCAUCGACUGCUGUAUCAGUUGUUGAUGCAAUGAGGUCUCUUGUGACUCCUACACCAGAAGGCGAUUGGUUCUCCACUGGCGUGUACACCAAUGGAAAUCCUUAUGGGAUAGCAAAGGAUAUAGUUUUCAGCAUGCCAUGCAGAUCAAAAGGUGAUGGUGACUAUGAACUUGUCAAAGAUGUAUUAAUGGAUGACUACCUCCGAAGCCGAAUAAAAAAGUCAGAAGAUGAAUUGCUUGCUGAGAAGAGAUGUGUCGCGCAUCUUACAGGAGAGGGUAUUGGUAUAUGUGAUCUGCCAGGAGACACAAUGCUCCCUGGAGAAAUGUGAAACCAUGGAGCAAGGUUAUCAACGGCUUUUGACCUUUGUUGAACGGGUUUAGAUCCUAUGAACACAAAGCACUCCUCUUCAAGAUGGGAGGG